AAUCCGGUGGAUACAGCAGUGUUACAGAAGUUUCAUUUGUCAGUGUGGAUCUGCUGAGUCACCUGAAGAACUCAUUUCAUUCUCCACGAUGUUGAUUUACAGAAAUAUUUCACAGGAACUGAUUUCUCCCAAAGGGUGAACUAGUGUGUUUCCAUAGAUUAUCUCUGUAUGAAUGUACUUCUUAAAUGAAGGCAAGUGUUUGUCCUUUUUUGUUCCUCAGGUACAGUACGUGAUAUUAAGGGCAGGCGGUCAUCACUGGGGGAAGACAAGAAGCAGACGUACUUCCAAGAGGGAGCUGCAGUGAGGACACAGCCUGGUCACUGAGGUCAGAGGAGGCGCUGAAAGGUUUCCCUAAUAGUUCCUGGUGAAUCAAAGCAGGACCAUAAAGGUUGCUGGACUACAUGAUGGCCUUA